rfam:Chlamydomonas reinhardtii strain CC-503 cw92 mt+ chloroplast, complete genome.
UUUCGCAAAUACCAUAGGUGUCCUGUACUCGUAAGAGUACUGAAAAAUUGGGUGAAUUGCUGGAACCCGAAAGGUAAUCAGCAGCCAAGCUACAGGUGGGCUAUAUAAAUAUUUAUAUAGGUUCUGUAGAAGGUUCAGAGACUAGUGCUUGAGUCCCAACAAUAAUAGCACAUUAGCGCCCAACCCCUUUUAUUUGAGUUAAAAGGGUGAAGAUAUAGUCCAACGA